AGUGAACGCUGGCGGUAGGCCUAACACAUGCAAGUCGAACGGCAGCACAGUAAGAGCUUGCUCUUACGGGUGGCGAGUGGCGGACGGGUGAGGAAUACAUCGGAAUCUACUUUUUCGUGGGGGAUAACGUAGGGAAACUUACGCUAAUACCGCAUACGACCUACGGGUGAAAGCAGGGGAUCUUCGGACCUUGCGCGAUUGAAUGAGCCGAUGUCGGAUUAGCUAGUUGGCGGGGUAAAGGCCCACCAAGGCGACGAUCCGUAGCUGGUCUGAGAGGAUGAUCAGCCACACUGGAACGGAAACGCGGUCCAGACUCCUACGGUACGGAGCAGUGGAGAAUAUUAGACAAUGGGAGCAAGCCUGAUCCAGCCAUACCGCGUGGGUGAAAGAGACCUUCGGGUUGUAAAGCCCUUUUGUUGGGAAAGAAAAGCAGCAGGUUAAUACCCCGCUGUUCUGACGGUACCCAAAGAAUAAGCACCGGCUAACUUCGUG
rnacentral:rRNA from 1 species